rnacentral:misc_RNA from 1 species
CUCUAAGCCUUGGCACAGAGAUGCAAUCUGCAGUUUCUGUUCCGUCAUUUCAAUAUCAAAGUCCAAACCUAAUUUUACCUUCAUUAUCAAGUCCACUUCUUCCAGUACAGGGGAAGUGGACAUUAUUCUGUGAAGGUGAUGAAAAUAAUCAAAGUAAGGUGUUGAGAGAUUCUGAAUUCUUGUCUACUUUUGCUGGAGGCAACCAUAACCCUAUCAAAACAGAGGAUUCCUGUAAUCCUCAGUGCUUAGAUACCCAAAAAGAAAUUCAUAGUGAUACAUUUAUGUAUGAAACUUGUGGUUAUGCUAAUGCUUUCUCAAACUCUAAAUACCUCAAGGCAGCUCAACAACUGCUUGAUGAAGUGGUUAAUGU